rfam:Aedes aegypti strain Liverpool supercont1.48 genomic scaffold, whole genome shotgun sequence.
CCUCUCAUGGCGUAGUGGUAACGCGCCCCAACUAGAGAUCGGGGAGUCGUGAGUUCUAUUCUCACUGAGAAGA